UAUUAUGAAGAGAUAUAUUCUCUUGUGGUGGAUGUAAUAUUUUUAAGUAUCUAAAGUCUGGCAAUAAGACACGGAACACUGGAUAUGACAUUUAUAUGAAAUUCUUGAAAGAUAUAAUCUCUGAAGGAUUAAUUAUAUGAGAAUUAUGUUCUCUAGAACUCUACUCGAUCGAAUAAAAAGAAAUAUAUAACAUGACAUAUAAU
rnacentral:sRNA from 1 species